rnacentral:rRNA from 1 species
AUGGGUGUCUCAGGCGCUGUGCUAUGGUGGAAGGACUGGCAGCUGCGCAUCCUCGUUCUUUGUAGCCUGCUGAUUCAGUACUUCCUCCUCCCCCGGUCGCGCGGGGAUGGAGAGGGCGGCAGCAGGCUCCUGGAGGUGUUGUGGGCGCCUGUCCUCCUGAUGCAUCUCGGUGGACAGGAUGGCAUAACCGCCUACAACAUCGAGGACAAUGAGUUGUGGACGCGGCACAUCCUCACCUCGGUGUCUCAGGUCAUCGUCGCCGUCUACGUCUUCUGGAAAUCAUGGUCAGGCAACGACAUGAGGCUGCUGCAGGCGACAAUACUGCUCUUUAUCGUUGGUAUCCUCAAAUGCUUCGAGAAGCCCUUGGCUCUCAAUAGAGCUAGUAUUAACAGCCUUGUCAGCUCCGGCGACCCUGUUUGGAGGUCAAUGAACACACAGAAGCUCAAGAUCAAUCCACUUGAAGAUUUCACUGACAAGGCAACUGAUCCUGCUGAGGAGAAUAGCUACCUUUUCGGACCAGCCACACCCGUUGACUUCAGUCCCCACAAGCACCAAUAA